rnacentral:rRNA from 1 species
GAUUAACGCUAGCGGCAGGCCUAAUACAUGCAAGUCGAACGGGAUUCAAAGUAGCAAUAUUUGAUGAGAGUGGCGCACGGGUGAGUAACACGUAUGCAAUUUACCUUUAACUGGGGGAUAGCCCUCCGAAAGGAGGAUUAAUACCGCAUAAUAUAUUGAAAUGGCAUCAUUUUAAUAUUAAACCUACGGGGGUUAAAGAUGAGCAUGCAUCCGAUUAGCUAGUUGGUGUGGUAACGGCUCACCAAGGCAACGAUCGGUAGGGGGUCUGAGAGGAUGAUCCCCCACACUGGUACUGAGACACGGACCAGACUCCUACGGGAGGCAGCAGUAAGGAAUAUUGGACAAUGGAGGCAACUCUGAUCCAGCCAUGCCGCGUGAAGGAUUAAGGCCCUAUGGGUUGUAAACUUCUUUUAGACGGGACAAAACCCCUUUACGUGUAAAGGGUUGAUGGUACUGUCAGAAUAAGCAUCGGCUAACUUCGUG